rnacentral:rRNA from 1 species
AGUGAACGCUGGCGGUAGGCCUAACACAUGCAAGUCGAACGGCAGCACAGUAAGAGCUUGCUCUUACGGGUGGCGAGUGGCGGACGGGUGAGGAAUACAUCGGAAUCUACUUUUUCGUGGGGGAUAACGUAGGGAAACUUACGCUGAUACCGCAUACGACCUACGGGUGAAAGCAGGGGAUCUUCGGACCUUGCGCGAUUGAAUGAGCCGAUGUCGGAUUAGCUAGUUGGCGGGGUAAAGGCCCACCAAGGCGACGAUCCGUAGCUGGUCUGAGAGGAUGAUCAGCCACACUGGAACUGAGACACGGUCCAGACUCCUACGGGAGGCAGCAGUGGGGAAUAUUGGACAAUGGGCGCAAGCCUGAUCCAGCCAUACCGCGUGGGUGAAGAAGGCCUUCGGGUUGUAAAGCCCUUUUGUUGGGAAAGAAAAGCAGCAGGUUAAUACCCCGCUGUUCUGACGGUGCCCAAAGAAUAAGCACCGGCUAACUUCGUG